CGAGGCCGAAGACGCACUAACCGCCUUUUUUUAGCCUCCCUCAAGAACAUAAGCAUUUUCUUUUUCACUAUUCAACCGCAAAAAUGGCAUCCGCCUUCUCAUGCAGAUGCUCCAUAGCCCUCGCCUCGCUUUCCAGGGUCAAGAUGUUUCAAAUGCGUAUAGGCCACAAAUAGCAAACUCAUGGUCUGGUUUCUCCCGAGGUCGAACUUUAAACUCUUGUGGAAGAGCCCUGACAUCAAAACUAAACUAUGCACCAAGUUUCCCUGCUACCUGUC